rnacentral:rRNA from 1 species
GAAUCUUGGACAAUGGGGGCAACCCUGAUCCAGCGACGCCGCGUGUGUGAAGAAGGCCUUCGGGUUGUAAAGCACUUUCGGCAGGGACAAACAAGACGGAGCUAACAUCUCCGUUCCUGAUGGUACCUGAAGAAGACGCACCGGCUAACUCUGUGCCAGCAGCCGCGGUAAUACAGAGGGUGCAAGCGUUAAUCGGAAUUACUGGGCGUAAAGCGUGCGUAGGUGGUUUGUUAAGUCAGGUGUGAAAUCCCGGGGCUCAACCCCGGAACUGCAUUUGAUACUGGCAAGCUAGAGUGCGGUAGAGGAUGGUGGAAUUCCCGGUGUAGCGGUGAAAUGCGUAGAUAUCGGGAGGAACAUCAGUGGCGAAGGCGGCCAUCUGGACUGACACUGACACUGAGGCACGAAAGCGUGGGGAGCAAACAGG